rnacentral:rRNA from 1 species
GAUGAACGCUGGCGGCGUGCCUAAUACAUGCAAGUCGAGCGAAUGGAUUAAGAGCUUGCUCUUAUGAAGUUAGUGGCGGACGGGUGAGUAACACGUGGGUAACCUGCCCAUAAGACUGGGAUAACUCCGGGAAACCGGGGCUAAUACCGGAUAAUAUUUUGAACUGCAUGGUUCAAAAUUGAAAGGCGGCUUCGGCUGUCACUUAUGGAUGGACACGCGUCGCAUUAGCUAGUUGGGGAGGUAACGGCUCACCAAGGCAACGAUGCGUAGCCGACCUGAGAGGGUGAUCGGCCACACUGGGACUGAGACACGGCCCAGACUCCUACGGGAGGCAGCAGUAGGGAAUCUUCCGCAAUGGACGAAAGUCUGACGGAGCAACGCCGCGUGAGUGAUGAAGGCUUUCGGGUCGUAAAACUCUGUUGUUAGGGAAGAACAAGUGCUAGUUGAAUAAGCUGGCACCUUGACGGUACCUAACCAGAAAGCCACGGCUAACUACGUGCCAGCCGCCGCUGUAA